rnacentral:lncRNA from 1 species
CUGGUCAUUUUUAGCCAUUUAACUUUGUUGUGUACUCUUAUCUACCAUCAUCUUACUGUGUUAAUCUAAAACUCAAACAGGACCUGUCUUCUGGGAUCUUAUUUUUCUGUUUAAGUCAAGGAUUUGUUGUGUAAAUUCAUCUUCAAUAACCACAUAUGUAUAUAUAUAUACAUAUGCAUUAAGAUUGCAAAUCAUUCUUUUUGUUUUUUUUGCCGUGACUUAUAACAUGAAAUGCCAUAACAAUCAUGAUGUGAGCAAAUGUUCUUAAUUCACUAUCCAAUUAUCACUGAUUAUAAUAUGUUUACACCUACACAUAGUAUUAACAGGUUCAGUAUUUAAACAUUGAAUUACUGCAUGUUAUCCACAAAUAUUCAUCACACUUUUUACACUUAAUUAUGUUAAACAACUAAUUGAAUAGCUUAGAUCCUUUUUUUUUUUUUUACUGUUUAUGAUCCCCAAUUAACACUACAUCUCCCAUUAAAUGUAUCAGCUUUCCAAAUGACAAACUACCAUAUUAUACCCAUAAUAUACUGUCAAACUUGUGUAUUAUUUCAGCAGCAGCAUCAUUUAAAUUACAACAAAACAGACAACGUAAGAUAGCCGAUUGAUUUUGUCAGAAUAUGAAAUAUAUCCUGGUAAAAUCAGUGGAUCUAAACAUAAAGAGUAAGUCCCAGCUGUUGAUGUUGUGUCACAUAGUUUUACACAGUACCGUGUUUAGUAUAUUAAUUGUAGCCUUGGAUAGUGUACUGCGUGUUUAGUAUAUUAAUUGUAGCCUCCAAACAUG